rnacentral:misc_RNA from 1 species
AAGUCGUAACAAGGUUUCCGUAGGUGAACCUGCGGAAGGAUCAUUAACACGUAUCCAAACGUUAAACCCCCCUGUGAACCUUCACCUGUACUCGUACGUCCGUUAGAAAAAGCAGCAAUCCCUGGUAAAUCAUCGCCGAACAGUUUUCGAUUCAGGGACGUCUGCAAGGAGCGUGCAUGUUGUGCGAAGCAAGUGGCCUGGCAUCCCCAAGCAGUUAGUGUCUGAAAGUGUCAUUACCUGUGUAAGGAUGACGCAGUCACGAUCGUUGGAGGCGAUAAUACGCAGUCGACCAAAAACCGAACAACUGUUAACAAUGGAUAUCUUGGUUCUC